GAGUGAUGUCAUUGAAAGCUUUCCUUUAGAUGAGGCUUAUCUACUCACAUCUCAUUGGUUAAAGCAUGUUACAUGGCCAAUGCCAAUGUCCAUGGACUGUACCAAAAAGUACCAUCUUGCCACAAGGGGCGCUAUAAUGACACAGCAACAGUCAAGUUUACUGAGAUAUAAUCAGCAUACAUCAUUUUAAGGCAUACAGCCUUCUGGUUUGAUUUACGUCUAUUGUGAUAUGAUUAUGACAAUGAGUUCAGCCAACAGACUCAUUCUCACAGAAACCCAAUAAAAAGGAAAAGAAGAACAGAAAAAAGGCUCUUUGUGAUGAGAACUCUUGGGAUUUACUCUAUUAGCAACUUUCCUACAUCCCAUACAACAGUGUCAGCUAUAGUCAGUAAUGCUGUGCAUUAUAUCUCUGAUAUUUAUCUAUCUUUUAACUGGACUUGUUUUGACUACCUUCCUCCACACCCAGCCCCCAACCACAAGUUUGAUUAAAGUGAC
ensembl:lncRNA